UACAGAGGUGCCGAGCGUUAGGCGGAAUCACUGGGCUUAAAGCGCGCGUAGGCGGAUGUAUAAGUGUCUUGUGAAAUCCCACGGCUCAACCGUGGAACUGCUGGGCAUACUGGGCAUCUUGAGGCACUCAAGGGCGAGCGGAACAAGUGGUGGAGCGGUGAAAUGCGUAGAUAUCACUUGGAACGCCAAUGGUGAAGACAGCUCGCUGGGGAUGUCCUGACGCUGAGGCGCGAAAGCCAGGGGAG
rnacentral:rRNA from 1 species